AGCGAACGCUGGCGGCAGGCCUAACACAUGCAAGUCGAACGAACUCUUCGGAGUUAGUGGCGGACGGGUGAGUAACACGUGGGAACGUGCCUUUUGGUUCGGAAUAACUCAGGGAAACUUGUGCUAAUACCGAAUGUGCCCUUCGGGGGAAAGAUUUAUCGCCAUUAGAGCGGCCCGCGUCUGAUUAGCUAGUUGGUGAGGUAACGGCUCACCAAGGCGACGAUCAGUAGCUGGUCUGAGAUGAUGACCAGCCACACUGGGACUGAGACACGGCCCAGACUCCUACGGGAGGCAGCAGUGGGGAAUCUUGCGCAAUGGGCGAAAGCCUGACGCAGCCAUGCCGCGUGAAUGAUGAAGGUCUUAGGAUUGUAAAAUUCUUUCACCGGGGACGAUAAUGACGGUACCCGGAGAAGAAGCCCCGGCUAACUUCGUG
rnacentral:rRNA from 1 species